rnacentral:rRNA from 1 species
GGGCCCGCACAAGUAGUGGAGCAUGUGGUUUAAUUCGAAGAUACGCGCAGAACCUUACCAACACUUGACAUGUUCGUCGCGACUUUAAGAGAUUAAAGUUUUCGGUUCGGCCGGACGAAACACAGGUGCUGCAUGGCUGUCGUCAGCUCGUGUCGUGAGAUGUUGGGUUAAGUCCCGCAACGAGCGCAACCCUCACUUUUAGUUGCCAUCAUUUAGUUGGGCACUCUGAAAGAACUGCCAGUGAUAAGCUGGAGGAAGGUGGGGAUGACGUCAAGUCCUCAUGGCCCUUACGUGUUGGGCUACACACGUGCUACAAUGGUAUCUACAACAGGAAGCAAGACUGCGAAGUUAAGCAAAUCCCUAAAAGAUACCUCAGUUCGGAUUGCACUCUGCAACUCGAGUGCAUG